UACGUAGGGUGCGAGCGUUAAUCGGAAUUACUGGGCGUAGAGCGUGCGUAGGCGGUUUCGCAAGUCCGCUGUGAAAGCCCCGGGCUCAACCUGGGAAUGGCAGUGGAAACUAGGAGACUUGAAUCUGGCAGAGGGGGGUGGAAUGCCACGUGUAGCAGUGAAAUGCGUAGAGAUGUGGCGGAACACCGAUGGCGAAGGCAGCCCCCUGGGCUGAGAUUAACGCUCAGGCACGAAAGCGUGGGGAGCAAACAGG
rnacentral:rRNA from 1 species